rnacentral:rRNA from 1 species
AUGUUUGGUGCCAGUCCAUCUGUGCUACAGCUCCAGCUUCAUCUGCCAAACAUGCAUACAGUUGCAUUUAAAGCUUCUAAAAAUCUGGAAAAUGUUGUCGCUCGACCAUCUUCUUCCAAGUCCAUGCUUACAAAGUACUUUGAGAUGAACCAAAAGUUUCCAGCGGCACCAAAAUGGUUGUAUAGCGAGUUUCUAGAACAUUAUAGAUGGAUAGCUGGUAAAAAGGUGUGGCAGAAUAGAAGAAAUAAGAGAGCACGGAUUGGAAGACUUGUGUAUGCACACCCCACUGAAGGAGAGAGGUACUAA